GUAUUUUUCUCGAAUAUUUCUCGGUGAAGAGGUUGUACACAAGUGUAAUGAGACAGAAUCGUUAAUUAUUAUCAACAAUUAUCAAAAAUUAUUUUGAAAACUCGAUUCCCAAACAUUCUGGUCCGAUGAACCGACUUCUCUAAAACUUCUUCACAGAGCUUGAAAACUAAUGCAUUAUCCUUUUGAAAUAAAGAAGCAAUUGUGAUCGCCGGGCACAGACGCUAGACCAACCCCCUAUUCUUUCAAGGUGACACCACGGUUAUCGCUGUUCCCAGACGUUAGUGAGACUGA